GGGAGACACACGGCGGGUGCUAACGUCCGUCGUGAAGAGGGAAACAACCCAGACCGCCAGCUAAGGUCCCAAAGUCAUGGUUAAGUGGGAAACGAUGUGGGAAGGCCCAGACAGCCAGGAUGUUGGCUUAGAAGCAGCCAUCAUUUAAAGAAAGCGUAAUAGCUCACUGGUCGAGUCGGCCUGCGCGGAAGAUGUAACGGGGCUAAACCAUGCACCGAAGCUGCGGCAGCGACACUGUGUGUUGUUGGGUAGGGGAGCGUUCUGUAAGCCUGUGAAGGUGUGUCGUGAGGCAUGCUGGAGGUAUCAGAAGUGCGAAUGCUGACAUAAGUAACGAUAAAGCGGGUGAAAAGCCCGCUCGCCGGAAGACCAAGGGUUCCUGUCCAACGUUAAUCGGGGCAGGGUGAGUCGACCCCUAAGGCGAGGCCGAAAGGCGUAGUCGAUGGGAAACGGGUUAAUAUUCCCGUACUUGGUGUUACUGCGAAGGGGGGACGGAGAAGGCUAUGUUGGCCGGGCGACGGUUGUCCCGGUUUAAGCGUGUAGGUGUGUGUUCCAGGUAAAUCCGGUUCACUUUAACACUGAGGCGUGACGACGAGGCACUACGGUGCUGAAGCAACAAAUGCCCUGCUUCCAGGAAAAGCCUCUAAGCAUCAGGUAACAUCAAAUCGUACCCCAAACCGACACAGGUGGUCAGGUAGAGAAUACCAAGGCGCUUGAGAGAACUCGGGUGAAGGAACUAGGCAAAAUGGUGCCGUAACUUCGGGAGAAGGCACGCUGACACGUAGGUGAAGUGAUUUACUCAUGGAGCUGAAGUCAGUCGAAGAUACCAGCUGGCUGCAACUGUUUAUUAAAAACACAGCACUGUGCAAACACGAAAGUGGACGUAUACGGUGUGACGCCUGCCCGGUGCCGGAAGGUUAAUUGAUGGGGUCAGCGCAAGCGAAGCUCCUGAUCGAAGCCCCGGUAAACGGCGGCCGUAACUAUAACGGUCCUAAGGUAGCGAAAUUCCUUGUCGGGUAAGUUCCGACCUGCACGAAUGGCGUAAUGAUGGCCAGGCUGUCUCCACCCGAGACUCAGUGAAAUUGAACUCGCUGUGAAGAUGCAGUGUACCCGCGGCAAGACGGAAAGACCCCGUGAACCUUUACUAUAGCUUGACACUGAACAUUGAGCCUUGAUGUGUAGGAUAGGUGGGAGGCUUUGAAGUGUGGACGCCAGUCUGCAUGGAGCCGACCUUGAAAUACCACCCUUUAAUGUUUGAUGUUCUAACGUGGACCCGUUACCCGGGUUGCGGACAGUGUCUGGUGGGUAGUUUGACUGGGGCGGUCUCCUCC
rnacentral:rRNA from 1 species